GGGCAACCUGCCUAUAAGACUGGGAUAACUUCGGGAAACCGGAGCUAAUACCGGAUAUGUUCUUCUCUCGCAUGAGAGAAGAUGGAAAGACGGUCUCGGCUGUCACUUAUAGAUGGGCCCGCGGCGCAUUAGCUAGUUGGUGAGGUAAUGGCUCACCAAGGCAACGAUGCGUAGCCGACCUGAGAGGGUGAUCGGCCACACUGGGACUGAGACACGGCCCAGACUCCUACGGGAGGCAGCAGUAGGGAAUCUUCCGCAAUGGACGAAAGUCUGACGGAGCAACGCCGCGUGAACGAUGAAGGCUUUCGGGUCGUAAAGUUCUGUUGUUAGGGAAGAACAAGUACCAGAGUAACUGCUGGUACCUUGACGGUACCUAACCAGAAAGCCACGGCUAACUACGUGCCAGCAGCCGCGGUAAUACGUAGGUGGCAAGCGUUAUCCGGAAUUAUUGGGCGUAAAGCGCGCGCAGGUGGUUCCUUAAGUCUGAUGUGAAAGCCCCCGGCUCAACCGGGGAGGGUCAUUGGAAACUGGGGAACUUGAGUGUAGAAGAGGAAAGUGGAAUUCCACGUGUAGCGGUGAAAUGCGUAGAGAUGUGGAGGAACACCAGUGGCGAAGGCGACUUUCUGGUCUAUAACUGACACUGAGGCGCGAAAGCG
rnacentral:rRNA from 1 species